rnacentral:tRNA from 1 species
AGAGAGGUGUCCGAGCGGUCGAAGGAGCACGCCUGGAACGCGUGUGUGGGGUAAACUCACCGAGGGUUCGAAUCCCUUCCUCUCUGCCA